rnacentral:rRNA from 1 species
CGGGGUGAGUAACGCGUGGGUAACCUGCCUCAUACAGGGGGAUAACAGUUAGAAAUGACUGCUAAUACCGCAUAAGACCACAGCACUGCAUGGUGCAGUGGUAAAAACUCCGGUGGUAUGAGAUGGACCCGCGUCUGAUUAGCCAGUUGGCAGGGUAACGGCCUACCAAAGCGACGAUCAGUAGCCGGCCUGAGAGGGUGAACGGCCACAUUGGGACUGAGACACGGCCCAAACUCCUACGGAAGGCAGCAG